UAUUCAGAGAGAGAGAAGGUGUUGAAAUCAGGUGCACUGAAUAUUUAAAACGUAGAGCAGCAUUUCUGGCAUGUAUUAAUACAAAAUACAAUAUGUAAUAAUUAAAUUGUUAUUGUUUGUCUAGGAGUUGUCUGCACGUAAAGAAACCAACUUUUCAUCUCUGCAUGAAAGUUGGGACUGAGGGGCUUCUUCAGGGUAUAUUGGAAAAUAAAGUGUUGCCCUCAGGAGCACAUCUGAUGCCUCUCAACAGCUCUCAACAUGGCGACAGCUGAGGCGCCAGGUUGCCGCCAACAGCGUUGAGAGCGCUAAGUGCUGACCGGGCGGUGUUUACCUGAGGGUGGGGGCUCUGUAUCCUCCGUAUGGAGUGUUUGUUGAGGACAGGAGAGUGGAGAAUUACUCUUUCUGACAGUCUUCCCUGUAACGUUCAGUACAGAAGCUUCCCAUCAGCCGAAAAUACUUUCCACUGAUAUUAUGCAAACUGUUUAAAGUAACAGGUUGUAUUCACUUCAAAAGGGACCGGAAGAGGAACUGCAGCUAUUCAAAGCUUUGCUCACUCAAGCAUUUGGUGCUGCUGACGUUUAUCUGAUUUUCCUCUCAACGUCAUAAUUUUCCCUCCAUCAAAUGAAGAUGAAUAAAACAAAUGCACUCUCCUAGGUUGAUAUUGUACAACAUGUAUUGGAAUGGCACACAACAAGAUUCUCUUAAGCGCUGAAUGCAUCAAAACAAAAGUGAACUUUGACCUGCGAGGCAGCUCAAAUCGACCCGAGCUGGAAUCAAGCAGAAAACACACACUUGACUUUGUUGUUUAAUCAGGAUUCCGUUGGAGUGAAUGAGGGAUGGAGUGAACGUUUGCAGAGACAAGUGUGAAUGUGCUUUGGAAACCCAGGAUGGAGGGAUGGGAUUAUUCUUCCUUCCCCUGUUGCUCCUGAACAACAAUCUUAAAAUAUAACAUUUUAUCCGAAGAAAAUAAUAAAAGCCGUACUGAAUAUUCUACUAAAACAAAUAUCUGAACGCACUAUUUCUUUGUUUUUAGUGUGGGAGAGAACAGUACACUACAAUUAGUUAUUCAUUUAUCCAUUUUGGUAAAUUUGGUAAAAAUUGGUAACACUGGAUAACUGUCUUUAUUCAUUUCAUGUAUGGAAACCAAGCAAGAAUUUAGCUGUACUCCGGAAUUAAUUGAAGAUUUCCCUCGACUCCCAUUAAACAUGAAACUAAAUUGUUCAUUUUGUGAAAUAGACAACAACAAAAUUUAAGAAAUUAAAUAAAACCCAUAUGUUGUAUUGUC